CUGGUUUAUAAAACAUUUACAAGCAACAGCAAUUGAACUAUAUGACAAAGAAACCAAUGUAUACAAGCCAAUCAAGUUCUUCAGUUUAAAGGUCUGUUUACUUUUUAAUAAUUAGUUCAUUUAGUUGUACAUUAAUACGAAGUACUGGAACAGUACGCCUAGUCACAGAAUAGGAAGGUAUACCCAUGAUCUUGAUACGCGGAAAAGUACUGGCACUAGUUGUCAAAUAGAAAUCCAUUUUAUGAUUAAAACAACUGAAUAUCUCCUGUAAUAUACUUUAUUUCGAUUCCAUAUUUUUGUCAGAGCUAUAGUUCUCAUAGCCAAACAUAAUUACAAAAUUUCAACUAGUUUCAUAAAGAAUAACGAAAGAUAUAAUUGACGGAAUACAUCAAAAUGGAUUUCUAUUCGGACAGCCCUUUCUGAGCGCUGAUUGGCUAAAAUACGAGCACGAGAUCACCUGGCCAUUGAACUAAAAAUAACUGGAACGAUACCUCCAGCCGGAAAUGUGAAGCCAUGCCCAGGCAUGCCCACUGUUGUCAUGCCCAGUCUUUUCACGUAACAGAAAUGAACGCGGGUUUUUUUAAUUUCCAAAACUGGGUAAAAAAAUGCACUAAAACAUGAUUUAAAACGACGUAAAAUGCACCUACCAGUACAUUUUUUACAAUAAAAACAUCCUUCAAAACUCUAGAGUAAAAUAUUUUUAAUUUACAGUACCGAUCACGGGAAAGUUAACAGUCCCUUGCGGGACGGGAUUCCUGUCCCGUGGGAACGUCGUUUGGGACAGAAAUCCCAUCCCGCGUUGUUGCGUGGACGGGAAAGCCGAAAUAAGCCUGCUAAAGACAUUUACAGUAGAAGAUUUGUUUCGACAGUAUGCUGCACAUCUUUAUUAAUGAAAUUUGUUCAAAGCUGAAACCGUUUUUAUAUCAUUUUUUUUCGAGAUUUUUUGAGAUUUGAAAUGGAUUUUCCGUUAUUUGGAUGUUUAGAGACUUUUUUGCCUUUUGGGACUUACGAGUUUUCACAAAAUCUACGAGCUAUAUCGUUAAAGAGAUUUCACAGCGCAAUUAAUUUCAGAAGACAAUAACCGAUCAAGACAAAAGGCCCACUGUCUUUGGUCUCAAUAGACAGUGCCGAAAACCGAUUGAUGUUCUGUUUUUGACAAACAACGUGAGUCAUCGACUCCAAAAUAAUUCCGAACGCGCUAAUAAAAGCCGAUACAAGGUCGCAAGCUUUUCAUUCGUCCGGUUUGUUCUGUACUGCAAAAACUUCACUGCUCUGUCUAAUUGGAGUGUUCACAUUGAAAGAAAAAAGUCUCGAAAUGCUUCGUGAACUGACUAAAGAGUCUAAAGUGUCAAAGUAUGCGGUUGCAUAGCGUUUCACGAAUAGCGACAAAAGAUGUUGUUAUGGUCGGAGGUGGUGGAGAAAUUAAACGAAAAUGUAAAGAUUUUGUUAUGUUGAAGCGUGAAAGAUAUUCUAGCCUACAUUUUAUAUCUUUCUGCAGGUAAGUAUACAUACAUAUUCAGAAACCACUUUGGAUUAAUAUAGCUACUGGAGACCUUGGUUAUUGUCAAUUUCAAGUCACUUUUCAACGUGCGGUUCCCAACUUCGUUGUGAACUUGCCAAUUACAUUUCCAAGUUCGGAAAUUAGGCGCGAAAUGUCAUAUUUCUUAACGUUUUAUUUUAAAUUCGGAUUUUAAUAUUCGCGGGACGGGAUUCCUGUCCCGUGAUCGGUACUGUAUUUGUGUAGAAUUCAUAAUUAAAUUUCCUUUUUUGAAAAAAAAACGUUGAGCGAGGAGUGGAGCUUGCCGUGGUCUAAUCAUAAGUAUUUGUGUGAAUUUCCCUAUUUUGCUCAUUCGUUUUCCAAUUUAUUCGUCUGAAAGUUUAUAGGAAAAAAGGUAUUCUAACAAGAUCAAACUACCAACCACAGUUUAAUUAUGUUUUGUAGUAGAGUAUUUAUUAAGUUUUAAAGGUACAAAAUAACAAGUAUAAACAUUAAAGACAUUAAGAAAGUUUUUUUCGCGGAACAAGAACAAGAACAAGUCGUCAACGAAGGCAAACAAAGUGAUAGAUACAGAUUAAAUAAACUUAUCUUGUUUAACAAUCAAUGAAGUUGUUAUAAAUAUAUGUUUAAUACGUUAAGAUAAAGAAUUACUUAUCUUUCUCAAGUUUCAUCUGCAUAUAAACGUUCCAGUCAUUCAAAUAUGCACUUGUUGUCUCCAAUCAGUUACUUUCUUCCUUGCAAUUUUAGUCGGUAGGUAGGGUUCAAGAUAUGUUUUAAAUACACUUUUAAUACAAAAAUAUAGCUUAAAACCCUAAAUAAACGACAAUUUUCGAUCCAUUCGUCCGAGAAAAAACAUUCAGUCACUUCGCCAUAAUGGUCUCGCGAGAAUGUCUCGCAACACAAAUGCGCGUGUCUGGAGGUAGAACACACACGGCUGGAGGUAAAAUUUGGCUUCAUCCGAUCAUAAGCCAAUCCUAUUGGAGGUAGCGUUCCAGGUAUUUUUAGUUCACUGGGUAUACCAGAAGCGUAACUCAAGCAAGUAUUUGUCCGCAUUUUUACAAGCGAUUCGUCAUCAAUCACGCCAUCCUGGCUAGUACAACCAGCACUUUGUACCUACCAAAACCAGUGAACUCUCUCUCUAUAUAUAUAUAUAUGGAAUGAUAACAGCGAGUGAAAAGUGAAGCCGACAAAAAAAAUCACGACAUAAGUAUUCGUCAUUGUCUUCGUCAUCAACUGUUCAAGAACAAUCACUUACAUAUAAAAUUUGUAAUUGUUUUGAAAGUUUUUAUCACAGUUUUUAUAUCUUUAUUCACUUUUAACCUGAAGAUGGAGUUUACUCCGAAACGUAGUUAUUAAAAUAAUUUUUCACUAAGCCCAUAUGGUCUAAUUUAUAUUCAAACACGCAUACAUAUUCAUUUACAUUUUGCUGGCAGGCAAAUUCCGAUCACACAAUAAAUUCUUUAAAAAAUAACGUACCAGUGUAUUGACUAAAAACUAUAAAACUGGUAAACUAAAAAACAAUUCAAACAAUUGUGAAAAAUGGCAAAGUCACAGUUGCAAGUCAAUUUACCUACCUGUGAAAUGAAAUUUUCCUCGCAAGAAUAUCUCUUUCCUUGUGCAUCCAGAACGACACAAUAUAUUUGAAAAAGCCUAUUCUUUUCUCCACACGGGGAAGUUUUCCUUGACUUUUUUCCGACAGCGAACUCAAUGCAGUAAAUUUUAGGAGCAAAACAGUUUGCUCCUAAAAUGUAUUGCAUUGAAUUGGCCAUGUUUUUAAUUUUUUUUUCGUGAUUGCGUUCAAAUUUAUACUGGCCGUGCAACGGUUUGCAAGAGGGGGAAUGAAACUGACGUCCAAUCCGCGUAAACCUGACGUUUGAGAGACUGACGUCCAAUCCGCGUGAAAGACUGGUAUCGAGGCUUCAUUGUUUUCACAAUCAAAUGACUGAAUGUUAUCAUUCCAGAUAUAUAUAUAUAUAUAUAGAGAGAGAGAGAGAGUUCACUGACCAAAACCUGAUAAAAACUUCCAGCUGUACUAGCCAGGAUGGCGUGGAUUGGCAUGAGCGAGUUAAAAUUUUCGUGGACGUAAAACAAUAAGGGAAACGACUAGAGUUACCCUUCUGCUCUAUCUUCUUUAUUCUGUGGCCUAGUUUGGUUUUGCUAAUUGUACUGACUACUGUAGUCGGACGGAAUAUUUAAGAUAAGGUAUGGAUAAACAGACCCCAACCCCUUCCCUAACCAAUAAAUGUGUAAUGAACUAUUUGAGAGUUAGAAAGGUCGGGGGGAAAAAUUUACAAAUAUUUUAAGAAACAUUUCUACGGGGCUGUUUAUAUGGAAGCAUGCCGCCAGGGUGGAAAGUUUGUAGUUUGCGCCGAAGAUCUUCGGCGUGGAAAAUUCAUAAAUUUGCUCCAUUUUGGCGCAGAAUUAUGGGAAAACGAACUGGCGUGGUGCACUGGCGUACAAAAAAUAUUUACUUGCGCACACUACAACGUUCUCAACCAUUUAUGUCUGUAUUUCAGUAAUUUAAUAAAGGGAAUUUGAUUGAGCACUGACUGACCGUAUUUCAAAUGUUUAGUAUCUGUUCUGUCUCAUUCUAAAAGUGUUGAUAUUGCAACUCGGCGGCGCAUGUGAACAUGUUUUAAAAAAGGAUUUGUGCAGCCACUGGUGCAUGUUACUGAACCUUGAUCAAAUCUUCGGCGCACAAGAAACAAACUUUCCACCCUGGAAGCAGGGCUGGCCUGCUAAACGAGAUAGCCUGGUAAGCGGGAUGAAUUUUGCUUGCGUUUAUGAGAUUUUAUCCUGCUUGCUGUGCUAGAAAUUGUUUACAUUGCACUCAAUAGGCAAUUCCAGCUUUUAGUUUAUGCCUGCAGGGGAUGAUGGGAAGUAAGGUAUCAUAGUGCUGAUUAUGCUGAAAAAUUUCAAUAAAAACAACCGAAAUAUUUCAAUAUUUACAAGUAUAAGCUAUCACUACGUGUUUACACGGCCACCAUUUUUAUUUUUUCAGCAUAAUCAGCAAUGUGAUACCUUAUUUCCCAUCGUCCCCUGCACGCAUAAACUAAAAGCUGGAAUUGCCUAUUGGCUUUCCCAAUUUCAAAAUUAAUUUUUGCUUCAAAACUCACUAUUUUGUAAACAUUACAGCUAUUGAAGCACAGCUUAGAGACAGGAAGUUUUACCUCGCAGUUUGAUCGUUGAAACACACAACUUACCAAGGGCAAAUUCAUGGGAAAUUUAGGCACUUUCGGUCAAUGGGUUGUUCCAGAAAAGAUCCAUACCCCCAUGCUGUCCGAAGGGGGAGUGAGGAAAAAUGUCUUAGGAUGUCCGAAGGGGGGGGGGGGAGGAAAUGCGGAUAUAAGAUUGUCGGAAGGUUUUAGACAGUGAUAAAGCUAUGUGUAUCGGCUAUAGCCCUUAAAAACUGGAACGUUUAUGUAACAGCAAUAAUUAUACGUCCACGUAACUCGUAAGCAAAAUAGCGGCCCACUUUUGCAUGCAUGGUCACCAAAAACUAACUCGCUGUAACAGUGUAUCCUGCAUGUUGAGAAUGAGUCGAAAAUUUACACACUUUAUUUAUAUAAAAGUAAAGUUUUGCAGUUUUUGUAUGUAUAAGUUUGAAUUAUUCAAGUGUUAAAAAUAAUAGUUAUUAAACUGUUGCUUGAAUUAAGAGACUGCUAUGUGAACUAAACUCAAUAUUUAGAAUAUUUAGUUUCAAUAUAUAGUCAAUAAAAGCUUCCUUGCGAGGUGUGUGCCUAGAAAAUAGAAAUGGCUGUCAUAUUAAGGGCGAGGUUAAGGAAUGCAGUAAUACUAAAAAAUGCAUUAACAUGUAAGUAAACACAGCAACGCUUCUCAAUCAGUCGCAAGUUACAUUGAAUUUCAGUCCGAAUUUUACUUGAUCGAAUUUCAAAGUGAAUUUCUGCAAAUUAUCCACCAAAAUCUGCCAUGUGUUUGUGUUCACAAGAAGCCGCCAAGUGUUCCACCACCACGCCGGAGCUAUUUGACAACAAUGUAGAAAAGUCACAAUAAGCCAUCGCUUUCACACUACGCUGGAGCGAAAUAGUUUGAAAACUUUCACAACACCUUUGCCAAAUACGCUACCAGCCUGAAUUGCUGAAAGCUGUUGCAAAAAACUGUUUUAUAGUACUACUUUACAAAAUGUAAUAAUUGGAUGCUAUAUACUUCAGUUCUUGUAUGAUAGCGCUUAUAAAUAAUUAUAUAUAAUAUAUAAUAUAUAAUUAUAAAUAAUUAUAAGCACUAUCAUACAAGAAAUGUCAAGAAUGAAUUUUCCUUCAAUGGUGGUUUUUUAUCCGUCAAAAGUUUAAUAUAGUUUUGACGAGAGAAAUGUUUCUCAACAAUUUUCAGAAAGUUUUACAAGAUUUUGGGGCUUGUUUUGAAUUGGGCUAUUCCAUUUAAAAGACGUAACCCCCCUAUCAAGGACAAUGGUUUUACCAUAUCUCUGAAGAAUUCCUGACAUAAAAGAGAUCCCCUGAAGAAUUCCUGUUACCCCUGAAGAAUUACAAUUUUUACAUCUGACCCCUAAAGGAAUUGCAUUUGAAAUAACCAACCCCUGAAGAAUUCCACAGGAGAAUUUGUUUACCCAUGAGGAAUUCCGGAGUUAAAAAGGGAGAUUAUGGAUAUUAAAUGGAAUAGCCAAUUUUCUGGAAAAUUUAGCCCAAUUUUCUUGAAAAUUUCCUGGUUGUUUUCCCUGCAGCUUGUUUAUAAACAUGCUUGUUUAUCUAUAGCAUCAUUUGUAGAAAAGGUGUUGAAAGCAUUUUUUGAAAGCAAUGACGUAUUAUCAAAUGACAAAUGAUCAUGCGAGCGACACUUGCUAGGAAGAUGGCGACUGUGGGACAACUAUAUAAUAGUUUUGUUUGUGGAAACACCACAUAAAUUUAUUACUGCAAAGCUUUCAAUCCGUAAGCCCGGAUCUUCAUCAGUGCUAAUAUGUGACUUGUUUAAUUCACACGCCCUUUUUAUAUACAAAAAAUGUCUUGAUCUGUUGGCUCACAUAUUAUUAGCACUGAUGAAGAUCCGGGCUUACAGAUCGAAAGCUUGGCAGUAAUAAAUUUACGUGGUGUUUCCACAAACAAAACUAUUAUAUGUUUUAUCGCCAUGCAAACAUACAAAGAAAUUAUUGUGGGACAACUUUUUUACUGAAGUUAUACAUCUGUCUUCACUUAAUCUGUGGCUCAGCUGGCUAGACCUUGAUUCUUGCCUGUGGUCCCCCUUUGCAUUUGACCCAAAUGUUUUGGUCAUUUUAUAUUUGCCAAUAUAAAUCUUUUUGGCAUAGAAAUUAUACAUUUGGAAUAAUAAUUUUGUAUGCUGCAUUCAAUCUAUUCUCCAUUCAGGGAGAUUCUUUUGUAAAUACCCACACCAAUCAGAAGUCUGUAUUUUUAUGCUAAAACAGAAAUUGGCAUCCCAGAGAGUAAAUUAUGUUCAAGUUUAGGGCAUGUUGCAGCUCUAUAUCUUGCCGUUGCAAGUUGCUUUGCGUUUGAUGUUUGUUCUGGGAUAAAAUAUUGAAUUAUACCUUAAAUUAAUGUUUUGUGAAAUUUAGUUUAAAUAAUUUAAUAGAGAGAUGAGUGCAUAAAGCAUAGGGAUUUUGAAGCUAAAUAUGUUAUAAAAUUUGUCAUUUUAGUGAAUGCAUUCGUUUCUGCUCGUCCUGGUUGUUGCAAGGAGACAUCAGGCAUUGUAAUGGAUGGAUGACAAUGUGUCGCUGGCAAACCUACACCGUGUGCAUUUUCUUGGUGGAUAUCUUGGGCAAAUGUGCAAUAUGACGAGGGAUAUCUUGGGCAAAUAUCUUAUAUAAAUUGGUACGAUUGCUUACCUUAAAUUACUAAAGAAGGAUGAUGUUGUAAGGUUAGUGGAUAUUUAUAAUAGUGAUAAAAUGGGGGUUCCCUAUGAAUAGGAACAAAGUAAGGCUGCC
rnacentral:lncRNA from 1 species